rnacentral:tRNA from 1 species
UCCUCGGUAGCUCAAUGGCAGAGCGGUCGGCUGUUAACCGAUAGGUUGGAGGUUCGAAUCCUCCCCGAGGAG